rnacentral:snRNA from 1 species
UUCCUUUGGUAGCACAUAUACUAAAAUUGGAAUGAUACAGAGAAGAUUAGCAUGGUCCCUGCGCAAGGAUAACACGCAAAUUCUGAAAUGUCCCCCCCCUCCAC